CACUGUUACUCAACUUUUAUUUGGUGUAUAGAAUGUCUAUAUUUACACACAAACAUAGAAACAUUGUGUCUGAUUUUACGACUGAAUUCUUCUCCAUAUUAUAGCAAUAGUAGCAAUGUUAAAACAUCACAUUUCCAAAAGCGUGAAAAGGAAAUAUUUUGUCUUGUCCUUCUGGAUGACCUUACGAUGUAGCACGCAGUUACUGAGGGACGCCUCUGUGUUAAGACUUCUGCGUUCGCGUACUCGUCGGAACUAGGAAACUGUGAAAUGUCCCAACUUGCUAACUGCUUGUAGUUAUACACGUGCUGCGUUCAACCAGUUAGGAAGUCAAGACAUUUCAGCGUUUCCUAGUUCCGACUAGCACGUGAACGCUGCAGGGUGUCCCUGUGAAUAACAUAACAUGGUUCUAGUUCAAGGUGGCCUGCCGGCUGUUAAAGGACAGACGCGUUUAUAGUUACAUCCUCCGGUCUACUUGAUAGUAGUUUGUCCUCCCUCCUGUGUAUAGAACAGUUCUGUCCAGGUUUAGAUCAGGGUCAGGUUAAAGUGUUGACACGGUGGAACAUGAUGAAUAGCUCGUUUGUUCUUGGGAGUGACUCUGUGUUUAUUUACAGCAACAGCGCGGGCAGUAAUGUGGUAAAACCAGACAAAAUCAGUGAUAGCAGCACUUAGUCUGCACACACACACACACACACGAGGUGAACCGUUAAGCCUUCCUUCACCCCACAGUUAAUUCGGUUGUCUUCCUCUCAGCACUUCCUGAUUCACAUUCAGCCUCAUUACCCAUUCAUCAGAUCCAGUCUCUCCACACAGAGGUUGACCUCUGCCAUUUCACCUCAUAUUAAACCACACGGUACUGGUUUCAGUGAACAUUGAUCUGUCCUUAGUAGGAUCACAAAUGAUACGAAACCAACCAGUCCAUCAUGUUUAAAGCUUUCUGCUCCAGAUUGAGUCUGGAGGUGAGACAGACUGGUCAGACAGUCCAGGUGGGAGACAGACAGGUAGACAGACAGGUAAGGCAGCAGAAUCAUCCCAGAGCCUUUGAUGAGUCUGUAGUAGUGAUCUGAUCAGCGCUACGGAGGGCUUUCUGUGGGCUGGCCGGGGACUAAAACCAACAACGUACUGGUAUGGGUCUAGAACCCAGAGACCGCAGAGAACUGAGUCUGGGACGAGAACCCAGAGUACAUGGGAGAACCCAGAGAACAGAGUCUGGGACGAGAACCCAGAGAACAGAGUCUGGGACGAGAACCCAGAGUACAGAGUCUGGGACUAGAACCCAGAGCUCGACGAAAGA
rnacentral:lncRNA from 1 species